rnacentral:rRNA from 1 species
UACGUAGGGUGCGAGCGUUGUCCGGAUUUAUUGGGCGUAAAGAGCUCGUAGGCGGUUUGUCGCGUCGGCCGUGAAAUCUCCACGCUUAACGUGGAGCGUGCGGUCGAUACGGGCAGACUAGAGUGCGGUAGGGGAGAUUGGAAUUCCUGGUGUAGCGGUGGAAUGCGCAGAUAUCAGGAGGAACACCGAGUGGCGAAGGCAGAUCUCUGGGCCGUAACUGACGCUGAGGAGCGAAAGCAUGGGGAGCGAACAGG